UACAGAGGUCUCAAGCGUUGUUCGGAUUCAUUGGGCGUAAAGGGUGCGUAGGCGGCGCGGUAAGUCGGGUGUGAAAUCUUGGAGCUUAACUCCGAAACUGCAUUCGAUACUGCCGCGCUUGAGGACUGGGGAGGAGACUGGAAUUUACGGUGUAGCGGUGAAAUGCGUAGAUAUCGUAAGGAAGACCAGUGGCGAAGGCGGGUCUCUGGACAGUUCCUGACGCUGAGGCACGAAGGCCAGGGGAGCAAACGGG
rnacentral:rRNA from 1 species